CCUUGCCAGCCCGCUCAAGAAACUCAAAGGAAUUGACGGGGGCCCGCACAAGCGGUGGAGUAUGUGGUUUAAUUCGAUGCAACGCGAAGAACCUUACCUGGUCUUGACAUCCCAGAAAUCCCUUGGAAACUUGGGAGUGCUUCCAUUAGGAAGAAUCUGGAGACAGGUGCUGCAUGGCUGUCGUCAGCUCGUGUCGUGAGAUGUUGGGUUAAGUCCCGCAACGAGCGCAACCCUUGCCUUUAGUUGCCAGCAGUUCGGCUGGGCACUCUAAAGGGACUGCCGGUGUUAAACCGGAGGAAGGUGGGGAUGACGUCAAGUCCUCAUGGCCUUUAUGACCAGGGCUACACACGUACUACAAUGGCCGAUACAAAGGGCAGCGACACUGCGAGGUGAAGCCAAUCCCGUAAAAUCGGUCUCAGUCCGGAUUGGAGUCUGCAACUCGACUCCAUGAAGUUGGAAUCGCUAGUAAUCGUGAAUCAGAAUGUCACGGUGAAUACGUUCCCGGGCCUU
rnacentral:rRNA from 1 species